CCAAGGAGUCUAACAUGUGCGCGAGUCACUCGGUCUUGUUUAGGCCAGAGAGGCGCAAUGAAAGUAAAGUUGAUUGAGUUACGAUCCUUAUGCCAGUCACAUAUAUAUAUGUGACGGUAAGGCGCAGUAACAGCCCGCUAAUUUCGCUUAUUGACGAUCUGGCGGAGUUUUAGCGUACACGUUGGUACCCGAAAGAUGGUGAACUAUGCCUGGGCAAGACGAAGCCAGAGGAAACUCUGGUGGAGGUCUGUAGCGAUUCUGACGUGCAAAUCGAUCGUCAGACCUGGGUAUAGGGGCGAAAGACUAAUCGAACCAUC
rnacentral:rRNA from 1 species